rnacentral:rRNA from 1 species
UGCGUAGGCGGCUUCUUAAGUUUGGUGUGAGAGCCCAGGGCUCAGCUCUGGAAGUGCACUAGAAACUGGGAAGCUUGAGUACCGGAGGGGAGAGUGGAAUUCCUGGUGUAGCGGUGAAAUGCGUAGAUAUCAGGAGGAAUACCGGUGGCGAAAGCGACUCUCUGGACGGUUACUGACGCUGAGGCACGAAAGCGUGGGGAGCAAACA